AUGGAAAGUAUAACGGCAUACAAAAACCAACGUGGACAACCCAGAUCUGGAACUCCAGAACAAUCUAACACUCCAGUGUCUGCUAAUGACAUGUGUUCCCUUGCUGAAUGGCCAUCCCAUGCUCGCCGCAACCAAGCUGGUGGACAGAAGAAGAAAGGGCGAGGUGUUCUAAAAGGUUUUAAAGCAUCUAAGAAGCGUUUUGCCAAUGGAUCUACAAAGCUAAAUAUUACAUUCUCUGAAAAAUUGGGUGGUACAGUAGGAAUGAACUAUCGUUCGUUCAAGGAUGACGUGGUAGUCGUAAUGAAAAGAAAGUUACCACUCAUUGGAGUGAGGACGUGGUCGGACAUUCACCCUACCAUUCAUCGACUCAUUAUUGCAGACAUGAUAAGAAACUUGGAAACUGGAGAAGAGCCAGAUUGUAUUGCUCUGUGGGAACUCACCCACACGAACGAUGGAACAUGGUCUAACACAGAUUCCCAGAAAGUUUACGACAAAGCACUUCAAGAGGUUAAAAUCAAAGAAACUGACACUGAAGGUCCACUUUCAAAGAGGAUUAACUUGGAGUGUGCUGAGAGAGAACAACUUGAGGAGAGGUUAAAAGAAGAGUGUGCUGAAAGGGAAAGAUUGUUGCAAGAGGAGCGAACAUCAAGACUGAAAUUUGAAAGAAACAUGAUGGCAAAGUUUAUAGAAUUGAGCCAACAGAUGGGAACCCAACAGGUGCCUACGAAGAGGGUUGACAAAGAAAAUAGUAAUCCAAACUUGCAAAAUAUUCUUUUACAGAGAUCUAGUCCUAAUAAGACUCCAGGUUCAAGGCCAACUGCUAUUUCUUCAAAUGCGCUCAUACAAGCUGCAACAAGGCAUUCUCGAAUGUUUAAAGCAAUGGAUGUCAUG
rnacentral:rRNA from 1 species